GGGGUUCUAGCUCAUCGGUAGAGCGCUCCCUUAGCAUCUUGAAAUUAAGUAGGCUUGGGAGAAGUAAUGGGUUCGACUCCUAUGUACUCCA